rnacentral:rRNA from 1 species
UACGGAGGGUGCAAGCGUUAUCCGGAUUCACUGGGUUUAAAGGGUGCGUAGGAGGGCAGGGAAGUCAGUGGUGAAAUCUCCGAGCUUAACUCGGAAACUGCCGUUGAUACUCUCUGUCUUGAAUCCCGUGGAGGUGAGCGGAAUAUGUCAUGUAGCGGUGAAAUGCCUAGAUAUGACAUAGAACACCAAUUGCGAAGGCAGCUCGCUACACGAAGAUUGACUCUGAGGCACGAAAAGCGUGGGGAUCAAACAGG